rnacentral:rRNA from 1 species
AAGCGGAGGAAAAGAAACUAACAAGGAUUCCCCUAGUAGCGGCGAGCGAAGCGGGAAGAGCUCAAAUUUAUAAUCUGGCACCUUCGGUGUCCGAGUUGUAAUCUCUAGAAAUGUUUUCCGCGUUGGACCGCACACAAGUCUGUUGGAAUACAGCGGCAUAGUGGUGAGACCCCCGUAUAUGGUGCGGACGCCCAGCGCUUUGUGAUACAUUUUCGAAGAGUCGAGUUGUUUGGGAAUGCAGCUCAAAUUGGGUGGUAAAUUCCAUCUAAAGCUAAAUAUUGGCGAGAGACCGAUAGCGAACAAGUACCGUGAGGGAAAGAUGAAAAGCACUUUGGAAAGAGAGUUAACAGUACGUGAAAUUGUUGGAAGGGAAACGCUUGAAGUCAGACUUGCUUGCCGAGCAAUCGGUUUGCAGGCCAGCAUCAGUUUUCCGGGAUGGAUAAUGGUAGAGAGAAGGUAGCAGUUUCGGCUGUGUUAUAGCUCUCUGCUGGAUACAUCUUGGGGGACUGAGGAACGCAGUGUGCCUUUUGGCGGGGGUUUCGACCUCUUCACACUUAGGAUGCUGGUGGAAUGGCUUUAAACGACCCGUCUUG